CAAGGAAAGAAAGGGGUUCUAGAACGGUGAAGAAGGACAGGAGGAUAAAAAAAAAGAAGUAGAAAGAAAAGAUAAAGCUAUGUGAAGGAAUGUGCUCUGCUAUUAAAAUCGAUUAACUCUGCCUCUGGCAAUAGUACAUGUUGAAGCAAGGCGCGUGUAUCCUAAAAAUAAUCGACGCUAUUUCCUUCUCCGUGGAAUACACGAAGCUCGCUUUCAGACCUGAUAAAGGACUCGUGCGGCAUACGCCGUUAAAUUCAUAUCGCUCUUUUGCAUCAUCGAAGUGGUGGCGGGUGUUCGCGACCGCGAUUUUGCAAAUUUAUUCGCAGCUCGUAAUCGCGCGGUACGUAAUAAUUCUGGGUUGAUAUCCUAAGAAAUUCUACCGAGGUAUAAAUAGUGGGCCGUAGAGUGAAAGGAGUGAGGGUAUAUCACGCUCUAGCGAGCUUAUUCUUUUUCCAUUUCGCGAUCACUGAUUAUUGUAUGCGUUGACAAGUUAUAUAGGGUGUUAUAAACUUUUCAAUUACACGCUGUAGAAACUAUCUAAAAUUAUAUGGACAAGUAUAUCGUAUUAAUUUGUAAUGCAAAGAUGUGUAUUUCCAUUAUAUCGUAUACGAAAUAUAUACAAUUUUUACGUAAUUUUAUAUACUUUUUUGUACUACUGUUUCUUGCCUGAACGUUGAUAUUUUUUUCGAAAAAAUACGAAUGCGAAUAAGUAACGCAACAACAAUAUUCGAAAUGUUUUGUUUUUUCGUAUUUCAAGUAAAUAUCUCGUAUCCCAAUAAAGUAUGAAUUUGAAAUUCACAAAUGUGAAAACACAUGGCGUUGGAAAUUGAAAAGUUAACGUAAGCAAUGAUCUCUCUCGAAUUUUUCUCUCAAUUGUUGCACUGAACGCGAGCUGAUAAGCACAAAAAGGAUAUGCAGUCAGCCUACGCAUUGCGCAAAA